GAGGAAACCACCUGUCAUUUUGCUUCAGAAACCCAAGAGAGAACUUGUGGUACAUGCCUUGCCAGCUCCCCUUUUUUCUUUUGUGUUUGCUGUUGAUGUACCAUUGUCCAUGUCCUUUUCUUUUUCCCAGUCAUAAUAAACCAAAGAAAUAUUCAAGAGAGGGAGGAGGGGCUGUGCGAUACAGCCCCCUUUUUUUAUUUCAUUACUUUUUUAUCCCCCUUGUUUUGUCUUUUACUAACAAAACCCAACACACAGAACCACUUUUUCUUUUGCUCCUAUUCUUCCUCUGUUGGCUUUUUUUCGUUGGCUUGCAGGCAGCAAACACUCAUGAGGAGGCAAUUCAAUUUCCAUGCGCCCCUUUUGGUUUCGGAUGCUUCAUGCAGAAAUUUUACACAGGGACUUGUAAUUACAAGCCUUUGCUCUUUUGAUUUUGAUCCCAUGGUGGGUUCAUCUCUACAUCCAUGAUUUGAGAGAUUCUUUGCUCCUGGAAGAGCUUAUUUGGUGGUGCAUGAUGGAAUAGACUAUGCCAUAAAACAUGAUGAUUGAAAUCAUCAUGGAAGGCAAACCUGAAAACACUGCUGGAGUUCUUUGAGCGGAGCCAAGCCUCGGAGAGAUUCUUAACCUUGGUUAUGAUGAUUUCAAUCAUCAUAGCCAAGAAUUUCUGUGGAUUGAUCAAACAAACUGCUGGGUGCGGAUCGUAUCCUCGGAAUUACUUGAGCGGAGCUGUCCCUUAGAGAGAUUACUGACCCUUUUUAUGAUGAUAGAAAUCAUCAUGGCCAGGAACCCUUGAGUUGAAUGGAACCAGAAAUCUUGAGCCAAAAAAAAAAAAAAAAAUCAGAAAAUUGUGCCAUGAAACUAAUCUUUUUACCUUGAAAUGGCUCUUUCCUUUCUCAAGUCUGCUUGCUAAUUUUUCUUCUUGCUCUGACUGUUCUCCUUUCUGCUCUUUUUCUGUCCUCCUGCUGUUCUCUUCUUCUUCUUUUUUUUUCUCCUCUUUUACUCCCCUCGUGUCAUGCCUCUUAUAGAGGCUAUCUUAUGAUGAGUUUGAAUUCAAGCUGAUGACCACUUCUCAACCGAGAUACUUAUCUCUUGGUGUUUCAAAACCACUGAAAUACCUCUAUUUUAUUU
rnacentral:lncRNA from 1 species